UUGUCAUUGUGGUGCCCAUCAGGACUCUGGACAGAAGAAGGGAGGACUCAGUGCCAGGGCAAUAGGGAGGCCCCCCAGGGACGCUAGUGCUGUGACAUGUGUCGGAAAGGCGCAGUCAGCAGCAGCGGCUAGGUGUGUUUGGUGGGAGGUGGCACCUACCACCCUGUGGUUCCCACCCAGGGGAGCCAAGUCCUCUUCCUUGGCUGUAGUCCUGCCGAGGGUCUCUCCUCAGUUUUGAGUCUCAAGGUGAAGACGCGGUUUGCGGGUGGCUGAGGGGUUGCUCCAUGGGGGCUCCCUCCCUCCCUCCCUUCCUUCCUUCCUUAGAUGGACGAGGUGGGUCGCAUCCUCUGUAACCUGUGCGGUGUGGUUUCUGGAGGGGUGGUCUGUUUCUUCCCCUCCUACGAGUACCUGCGCCAGGUCCAUGCCCACUGGGAGAAGGGUGGCCUGCUGGGCCGUCUGGCUGCCAGGAAGAAGAUAUUCCAGGAACCUAAGA
rnacentral:sRNA from 1 species